CCUGGUACGGCCGGGGCUGCCGCCGGUUCCUGAUACGGCCGGCGCAG
rnacentral:ncRNA from 1 species